AAUCUUCGGCAAGGCAGGAAGGUGUAAUGGAGGAAAGCGGCGGGAGUGAUGAAGCCCCUUGGGUGGAAAAGUUAGGCCAUCGGGGAGGAAAAAUCCCUCCAGGAAAGGGGUGUGAAGUGACGGUACCCAAGAAGGAAGCCACGGCUAACUACGUGCCAGCAGCCGCGGUAAUACGUAGGUGGCAAGCGUUGUCCGGAAUUAUUGGG
rnacentral:rRNA from 1 species